rnacentral:rRNA from 1 species
UAACAAUGAUUUCCCUAGUAACGGCGAGUGAACAGGAAAAAGCUCAAAGUUGGAACCUGUUUGGCCUAGCUAAACCGGAUUGUAAACUGUAGAAGUGUUUUCCAGGCAAGCCGGACCGAUAAGUCCUUUGGAACAGGGCAUCAUAGAGGGUGAGAAUCCCGUCUUCGGUCUGAGCAUUUGCCUUUUGCGAUACACUUUCAAAGAGUCAGGUUGUUUGGGAAUGCAGCCUAAAUUGGGUGGUAAAUCUCACAUAAAGCUAAAUAUUGGCGAGAAACCGAUAGCGAACAAGUACCGUGAGGGAAAGAUGAAAAGAACUUUGAAAAGAGAGUUAAACAGUAUGUGAAAUUGUUAAAAGGGAACCGUUUGGAGCCAGACUGGCUUGUCUGUAAUCAGUCUAAGUUUCGGCUUGGAUGCACUUGCAGGCUAUGCCUGCCAACGACAAUUUGGCUUGAGGGAAAAAACUAGGGGAAAUGUGGCCCAUUCGUGGGUGUUAUAGUCCCUUAGAAAAUACCUUGGGCUGGAUUGAGGUACGCAGCGAAUGCUAUUUGGCGAGUUGGCUGGGAAUAUUUUCUGAGGUGCUCCGGUACUGAGGUUGAUAUUUCCAGUUACACUUCUAUUCGCUUAGGUUGUUGGCUUAAUGAU